rnacentral:rRNA from 1 species
GAUGAACGCUGGCGGCGUGCCUAAUACAUGCAAGUCGAGCGGCAGCACGGUCUUCGGACUGGUGGCGAGCGGCGGACGGCUGAGUAACGCGUAGGAACAUGCCCUAAAGUGAGGAAUAACUGCCCGAAAGGGUGGCUAAUGCCGCAUGUGCUCUUCGGAGUAAAGCUUUAUGCGCUUUAGGAGUGGCCUGCGUCCGAUUAGCUAGUUGGUGAGGUAAAUGCUUACCAAGGCGACGAUCGGUAGCUGGUCUGAGAGGAUGAUCAGCCAGACUGGGACUGAGAACGGUCCAGACUCCUACGGGAGGCAGCAGUAGGGAAUUUUCCGCAAUGGGCGAGAGCCUGAUGGAGCAACGCCGCGUGCAGGAUGAAUGCCUUCGGGUUGUAAACUGCUUUUAUGUGCGAAGAAUUUGACUGUAACACAUGAAUAAGGAUCGGCUAACUACGUGCCAGCCGCCGCUGUAA